CGUAGGGUCCAAGCGUUAUCCGGAAUCACUGGGCGUAAAGCGUGCGUAGGUGGCGCGUUAAGUGAGAUGUUAAAUCGUGGGGCUCAACCCUGUCGAUGCAUCUCAUACUGGCGUGCUAGAGGACAGCAGAGGCAAGUGGAAUUUGUAGUGUAGCAGUGAAAUGCGUAGAUAUUACAAGGAACACCAAUGGCGAAGGCAGCUUGCUGGGCUACUCCUGACACUGAGGUACGAAAGCGUGGGGAGCGAACAGGAUUAGAUACCCUGGUAGUCCACGCCGUAAACGAUGCAUACUAGACGUAUGGGGUAUCGACCCCCUGUGCGUCGAAGCUAACGCGAUAAGUAUGCCGCCUGGGAAGUACGGCCGCAAGGCUA
rnacentral:rRNA from 1 species